GGAGGCGUCGCAUAGCUGGUUGAGUGCACCGGUUUCGAAAACCGGAGGUGCCGUAAGGUACCCGGGGGUUCGAAUCCUCCCGCCUCCGCCA
rnacentral:tRNA from 1 species